GAGUUUGAUCCUGGCUCAGAUUGAACGCUGGCGGCAUGCCUAACACAUGCAAGUCGAACGGUAACAGGUCUUCGGAUGCUGACGAGUGGCGGACGGGUGAGUAAUGCGUAGGAAUCUGUCUUUUAGUGGGGGACAACCCAGGGAAACUUGGGCUAAUACCGCAUGAGCCCUGAGGGGGAAAGCGGGGGAUCUUCGGACCUCGCGCUAAGGGAAGAGCCUACGUCUGAUUAGCUAGUUGGUAGGGUAAAGGCCUACCAAGGCGACGAUCAGUAGCUGGUCUGAGAGGACGACCAGCCACACUGGGACUGAGACACGGCCCAGACUCCUACGGGAGGCAGCAGUGGGGAAUUUUUCGCAAUGGGGGCAACCCUGACGAAGCAAUGCCGCGUGGAUGAAGAAGGCCUUCGGGUUGUAAAGUCCUUUCGUGGGGGACGAAAAGGCGGGUCCUAAUACGAUCUGCUGUUGACGUGAACCCAAGAAGAAGCACCGGCUAACUCCGUGCCAGCAGCCGCGGUAAUAC
rnacentral:rRNA from 1 species